CUACGGGGGGCUGCAGUGGGGAAUAUUGCACAAUGGGGGAAACCCUGAUGCAGCAACGCCGCGUGGAGGAUGACACAUUUCGGUGCGUAAACUCCUUUUAUAGGUCAAGAUAAUGACGGUAGCCUAUGAAUAAGCGCCGGCUAACUCCGUGCCAGCAGCCGCGGUAAUACGGAGGGCGCAAGCGUUACUCGGAAUCACUGGGCGUAAAGAGCAUGUAGGCGGGUUAAUAAGUCAGAAGUGAAAUCCAAUAGCUCAACUAUUGAACUGCUUUUGAAACUGUUAACCUAGAGUGUGGGAGAGGUAGAUGGAAUUUCUGGUGUAGGGGUAAAAUCCGUAGAGAUCAGAAGGAAUACCGAUUGCGAAGGCGAUCUACUGGAACAUUACUGACGCUGAGAUGCGAAAGCGUGGGGAGCAAACAGGAUUAGAUACCCUAGUAGUC
rnacentral:rRNA from 1 species